AUUGAACGCUGCGGAAUGCUUUACACAUGCAAGUCGAACGGCAGCACGGGGCAACCUGGUGGCGAGUGGCGAACGGGUGAGUAAUACAUCGGAACGUGCCCAGUCGUGGGGGAUAACGUAGCGAAAGUUACGCUAAUACCGCAUACGAUCUACGGAUGAAAGCGGGGGAUCGCAAGACCUCGCGCGAAUGGAGCGGCCGAUGUCAGCUUAGGUAGUUGGUGGGGUAAAGGCUCACCAAGCCGACGAUCUGUAGCUGGUCUGAGAGGACGACCAGCCCAACUGGGCCUGAGACACGGCCCAGACUCCUACGGGAGGCAGCAGUGGGGAAUUUUGGACAAUGUGCGCAAGCCUGAUCCAGCCAUUCCGCGUGCAGGAUGAAGGCCUUCGGGUUGUAAACUGCUUUUGUACGGAACGAAACGGUUCUCUCUAAUACAGGGGGCUAAUGACGGUACCGUAAGAAUAAGCACCGGCUAACUACGUGCCAGCCGCCGCGGUAAGAC
rnacentral:rRNA from 1 species